rnacentral:lncRNA from 1 species
AACUCAUUGUUGGCCUUUAUGGACCUCAACCUCAUGGUGAGCUGGAAGCAUAGGAAGUUGUUGGUGCCUAUGGCCUGGAGACCCAGCAGCUCACACAAUGCCACCAGCUGCUGGCAGGUGAGGUUAUCCAGGGUCAGCUCAUCCUCAAAUAAUUUGGGAAAGCGCAUGAUUUCUUCAUUGUUAGGUCUUUCCUGUCUCUCAGAUCUUCUGGAAAAACAUGGAGAAGGCUUUGGCAGUCCUCCCCUUGGCUUCUUUUCUCCUCGAUGGUGUCCGUCGCCAAGGUGGGGAGAUGAGUGCCAGCAGCAUGCAGGACGGUCCUGAGGUCCCAUGACCACCAAACAUGGUGCCGCCGUAGCCACUGUGUGCCAGCGCUCCGGCCUCACAGGCCAACUGCUGAGGUGAUGGCCUCUGAAGGAAGGUACACCGGGUAGGCGGGGGUGCAGCAGCUAAAUGGAACAUUCACGCGGCUUG